AACAAACGCUGGCGGCGUGCCUAACACAUGCAAGUCGUACGAGAAAGUUGGCUUCGGCCAAUGAGUAAAGUGGCGCACGGGUGAGUAACGCGUGGAUAAUCUGCCCUUCAGCGGGGAGUAACCCAUCGAAAGGUGGGCUAAUACCCCAUAACACUGUUUUACAACUGUCAAACAGUCAAAGAGAGCCUCUGCUUGCAAGCUUUUACUGAAGGUUGAGUCCGCGUACCAUUAGCUAGUUGGUAGGGUAAUGGCCUACCAAGGCGACGAUGGUUAGCUGGUCUGAGAGGAUGAUCAGCCACACUGGAACUGAGACACGGUCCAGACUCCUACGGGAGGCAGCAGUGAGGAAUCUUGCGCAAUGGGGGAAACCCUGACGCAGCAACGCCGCGUGAGUGAGGAAGGUCUUCGGGUCGUAAAGCUCUGUCAGGCGGGAAGAAAUGCAUGGAGGUGAACAGCCGCCAUGCUUGACGGUACCGCCAGAGGAAGCACC
rnacentral:rRNA from 1 species